rnacentral:rRNA from 1 species
AUGAUUACCGUGCUAUGCAACUUCCAUUCGCCAGGGGGGACUGUGUUUACACAUCAUACCAUGGGUUUCAUGAAUCACCAUAUCCAGAGAUUCGUCGACACAGCUUGUUGCCAGAUAAUCUUCAGUCCGGUGCUGCCGGCUAGCGUCAAGUUCGAUCCCACGGAUCAGGAGCUGAUCGAGCACGUUGAGGCCAAAGUGAGUACUGACAGCGCGAGAUCUUACCCUCUCAUCGAUUUGUUCAUACCAACCAUCGACAGCGAGCACGGCAUAUGCUGCACCCAUCCUGAGAAACUUCCAGGUAUCACACUGAGUGGCCUAAGCAAGCAUUUCUUCCAGCGCAAUUCCAGGGCGUUCAAAAGGGGCACGUGGACGCGUCGCAAGACACAGUCGGAGUGCGGCAUGCACGCGAUGUGGCACAACACCGGCAAUUCCUUGCCGGUGAUGGUCAACGGCCGGCAGACGGGCAGCAAAAAGGUUCUGGUGCUGCACACCAACAAGAACUUCGACCAGCAGAGGACCAACUGGGUGAUGCACCAGUACCACCUCGGGGACCUGGAGCAAGAGAAGGAGCGGGAGCUGGUCCUCUGCAAGAUUUUCUACCGGACGAACACUAGGGCCAGGAGUAAAAAGAUUAUAAGUCGAGCAAUUUUCAACUGGGCUGUAGACUGCACAGGCUUGGUUUUGUUUUUAACAAGCCCAGCCCAUGACGACAACGAGGCAUAA